rnacentral:rRNA from 1 species
UACAGAGGUCUCAAGCGUUUGUUCGGAUUCAUUGGGCGUAAGGGUGCGUAGGCGGCGCGGUAAGUCGGGUGUGAAAUCUCGGAGCUUAACUCCGAAACUGCAUUCGAUACUGCCGUGCUUGAGGACUGGAGAGGAGACUGGAAUUUACGGUGUAGCGGUGAAAUGCGUAGAUAUCGUAAGGAAGACCAGUGGCGAAGGCGGGUCUCUGGAACGCAACUGACGCUGAGACGCGAAAGCGUGGGGAGCAAACAGG